rnacentral:ncRNA from 1 species
GCGAGCUGGGUUCAGAACGUCGUGAGACAGUUCGGUCCCUAUCCGGCGUGGGCGCAGGAUAUUUGAGAGGAGCUGACCUUAGUACGAGAGGACCGGGUUGGACUGACCUCUGGUGUACCGGUUGUUCUACCAAGAGCAUGGCCGGGUAGCCAAGUCGGGAAGGGAUAAACGCUGAAGGCAUCUAAGCGUGAAGCCCCCCUCAAGAUGAGAUAUCCCCCGCAUAAGCGGUAAGACCCCUUGAAGACGACGAGGUAGAUAGGUUAGAGGUGGAAGUGCAGUAAUGUAUGGAGCUGACUAAUACUAAUAGGUCGAAGGCUUAUCCAU